rnacentral:rRNA from 1 species
AGGACGAACGCUGGCGGCGUGCUUAACACAUGCAAGUCGAGCGGUAAGGCCUCUUCGGGGGUACACGAGCGGCGAACGGGUGAGUAACACGUGGGUGACCUGCCCUCAGCUCUGGGAUAAGCCUGGGAAACUGGGUCUAAUACUGGAUAUGACUGCGCAUCGCAUGGUGUGUGGUGGAAAGUUUUUUCGGCUGGGGAUGGGCCCGCGGCCUAUCAGCUUGUUGGUGGGGUGAUGGCCUACCAAGGCGACGAUC